rnacentral:rRNA from 1 species
CCCCUACGGGGGGCAGCAGUGGGGAAUAUUGCACAAUGGGGGAAACCCUGAUGCAGCCAUGCCGCGUGUAUGAAGAAGGCCUUCGGGUUGUAAAGUACUUUCAGCGGGGAGGAAGGUGUUGUGGUUAAUAACCACAGCAAUUGACGUUACCCGCAGAAGAAGCACCGGCUAACUCCGUGCCAGCAGCCGCGGUAAUACGGAGGGUGCAAGCGUUAAUCGGAAUUACUGGGCGUAAAGCGCACGCAGGCGGUCUGUCAAGUCGGAUGUGAAAUCCCCGGGCUCAACCUGGGAACUGCAUUCGAAACUGGCAGGCUAGAGUCUUGUAGAGGGGGGUAGAAUUCCAGGUGUAGCGGUGAAAUGCGUAGAGAUCUGGAGGAAUACCGGUGGCGAAGGCGGCCCCCUGGACAAAGACUGACGCUCAGGUGCGAAAGCGUGGGGAGCAAACAGGAUUAGAUACCCCGGUAGUCC